UACGUAGGGUCCGAGCGUUGUCCGGAGUUACUGGGCGUAAAGCGCGCGCAGGUGGUUCAUUAAGCCCGGCGUGAAAGCCCCCGGCUCAACCCGGGGGAGGGUCGUCGGGGACUGGUGGACUUGAGGGCGGCAGGGGCUGGUGGAAUCCCCGGUGUAGUGGUGAAAUGCGUAGAGAUCGGGGGGAACACCCUGGCGAAGGCGGCCAGCUGGGCCGACCCUGACACUGAGGCGCGAAGGCGUGGGGAGCGAACGGGG
rnacentral:rRNA from 1 species